rnacentral:rRNA from 1 species
GUAGUCUGNAACCCGGCUACAUGAAGCUGGAAUCGCUAGUAAUCGCGGAUCAGAAUGCCGCGGUGAAUACGUUCCCGGGCCUUGUACACACCGCCCGUCACACCAUGAGAGUUGGCAAUACCCAACGUACGUGAUCUAACCCGCAAGGGAGGAAGCGUCCUAAGGUAGGGUCAGCGAUUGGGGUGAAGUCGUAACAAGGUAAC